UACGAAGGGUGCAAGCGUUAAUCGGAAUUACUGGGCGUAAAGAGCUCGUAGGUGGUUUGUCACGUCGUCUGUGAAAUUCCGGGGCUUAACCUCGGGCGUGCAGGCGAUACGGGCAAUACUUGAGUGCUGUAGGGGAGACUGGAAUUCCUGGUGUAGCGGUGAAAUGCGCAGAUAUCAGGAGGAACACCGAUGGCGAAGGCAGGUCUCUGGGCCACUACUGACGCUGAGAAGCGAAAGCAUGGGGAGCGAACAGGAUUAGA
rnacentral:rRNA from 1 species